AUUCCAGCUCCAAUAGCGUAUAUUAAUGUUGUUGCAGUUAAAAAGCUCGUAGUUGGAUUCUGGGUUCUUCGCUAGCUUUGGUCCGCAAGGGCUUCAGUGGGCUGUUUGAAUCCAUCCUCAGGGGGACCCAUGCUGGUAUUCAUUUAUCGGUGUGGGAACGCCUGUCGUUUACUGUGAACAAAUUAGAGUGUUCAAAGCAAGGUGUACUUGAAUACAUUAGCAUGGAAUAAUAAGAUAGGACUUUGGUGGUUCUUUUUGAUAUUUUGUUGGUUUGCACGCCAAAGUAAUGAUUAAUAGGAGCAGUUGGGGGUAUUCGUAUUCAAUUGUCAGAGGUGAAAUUCUUGGAUUUAUAGAAGACGAACUACUGCGAAAGCAUUUACCAAGGAUGUUUUCAUUA
rnacentral:rRNA from 1 species